GUCAGAAGCGGACAGGCACGAUGGGAACAAAUCCUCACCCUCUGCCUUUCCUGGGGGUGAUCCUAGCUGAGGGGGUACCCCGGGGGCUGGGGCUGAAUCAUGGGUCCUCACCUGAGACCAAGUGGGAAGCCGGCAGUGCAGAAGCAAGUUGAGUCAGAAACAUGUGAGAAGCUGAGGUCUAAAAAGGGAAGUGCAAAGGGUCACCAAAGCGAAGGGGCCAGAAGCAGCUACGGCAGCUGGGAUAUGGAGCCAGGAAUCUGAGAACCAGGGAGAUUUGACCACGCCUGGACUAGCUGUCAGGCUCAGGCCACUGGCCCCGUUCCGAGCUCACAGGAAGCCUAAGAACUUUCUCCUCUGUGUACAGUUCAGCGUCACAAGUCUAUUCACAUUGUUGUGCUGCGAUCAUCAUCGUCAUCCAUCUCCCGAACUCUUUUCAUUUUCCCAAACUGAAACUUUGUUCUCACCAAACAAUGGCUCCCCAUUCCCGUUCCUCCAGCCCCUGGCGACCCCUUUUCUACUUUCCGACUCUGAGAGUGACUACUCCAGGUGCCCCAUGUGAAAACUGUGGCAGUGAGAGACCACAUAUUUGGGCCCACGAUGUGCCAGGAGCAUGGCACGCUUCUCUGCUGGCUCUUUCAUCCUGUUUGCUUGCAUACACAACAGUGUCCCCACAUAGGAAUCCCAGGCGGUUUGGUGGCUCUUUAACAUUCCCCAGAGCUACCUUUUAAAGCAGUGAGGUGACUCGAGUUCCAGCAGAGAGGCUGGAUUAAAAUGCUGAGCAUGAACACUUGAGAGAAGAUGCACAUUAUGGUUGUUGUUUGGCAUCUUUGCACAUUAACUAUUCUCACUAUCAGAAAAUGGAAUAUUUUGCUAGCAGUUACUGGAGGAGCCAAAGGUUUUAGCAACAGAAUUGUUUUAUAUUUAAAAGCUACUGGAUAAGUCACACUCUUUCUCCUGUAAUCCAUAACUAUGGCCACUAGUGGAGCUCAGGAGAAUGGAAUCCCAGUGCCCCCUACACCAAGGGCACAGAUCUCCCAGAGCUGCUCUCUGCAAGGAGUCAGGAUGAUGUGGUGAACGCUGAGCUGUGAGCUGGAGGUUGGGAUGUUGGGGUUCAAAAUUCUGGCUCUGCCACUUACCUGCCGGGUAGCUCUGUGAGGGCUGUGCUUGCUUGUCUGUAGAACAAGGGGCAGGCCCUAGAGUCACUCCAGUCCCAAUAUUCUAGGAGACUGGGCGAGCUUGGAGGGGCACUCAGAAAUCUGGAGACAACGUAAGGACUGUUCAGAUUAAUGUGUCCUUGGUAACUCUGAGCAGGGGUCACAGAUGUUUGGCGCUGGAUAGAGAAAUCUCAGAGCUAUGGGAUCCCACCCAAGUGCAAAGUCCCUAGAACCACUCAGUUGUCACUAGCAGUUAACGUGAAAUUCUUUGGUGGAUAAUGUCAUCAUGUUAGUGGAUAAUGACUUUUAUGAAACUAAUGCUCUUUAAGAUACAUUUUCAAACUCUAGUCUCCUGUUAUUUUUCAUUAUUAGUAUUAGUAAAAAAAUAAUAGCAUCCUCGAUGUACCCAGUGCUUGUGAUGUGCUAUGCACUUUUUACGCUGUGCGAAGCAUGACCUCAUUAAACCCUCCUGAUAACUCUAUUAUUGCCCCCAUUUUACAGAUGAGAAAACUAAGGCUCAGAGAGGUUCAGAGGCUUUUCCAAGGUCACAUCAUCAGUAAAUGCAUGCACCAGGAUUUGAGUCUGACUCAGUCACUUCCAAGUCCACAUCCUUCUUUUAUGGCCAGAAAUUCUAGUGUUCUGCAUCACAUACGAUCAGCCACAUUAUAAUCAACACACAUUUGCGAAAUGUCAGCUGUGAGCAGAAAGCAGGGGAGGAGAAAUUGGAUAUAGUCCUUGCUUUUACGAUCCUCAAAUCCAGGAGACAGAGCUGUCUGUAAGUGAUACAAGAGCAUCAAACAAUGAGUGGUUAGAUUGCUAGAACCAGAGGGGCUCAGAGGCAGGAAAAAUUACCAAGCACUCCGAAAAAGCUUUUUUGACAAAUUGGGACUUCCCUUGCAUCCUAAAGAACGGAGGUUGAAAAAAAGUCCGAGGAAAGCAGAGGAAGAGGAGAGAUGCUGGAGCCGGGGAAGGAUCAGAACAAAGGCCCGGCGAUGGGGGUGCACUUGCCGUGUUCUGAGAACAUUGGGUGGGCGCGGCCGCUUGAUGCCAGCAGAGGGUUUGGGGAGCAAGAGAGUCAUCUGGGGAGGAGCCUUCCGCUUGGCCACCAGGGAGGGACUCAGUCUCCUCUGUGCAGACAGUUCCUCUAAGCAGGUGGGCACAUACUGGGCGUGUCUCCUUUGCAAAGCAAGAAACAUGAUAUUAGAUUGCUUCUCCCACAUAAGAAUAGUGACUGCAAUAGAGAAAUUUUACUAACAAAAAAUAGUCACUUGGAGAACAUGUAUAAAUCCUACCAAAGACUAACAUUCCCUUGGCCACACUAAGGAGCGAACCAAGAGAGCUGCCUUUCAUACUGCCUGUGUUAAGCGCCCAUGCAUUUACUGACAAGAAAUGGGAGGAAACAAAAGCCACUAAGAAAGCUGUGUUGGGAUGGUGGCAUUAUGGGUCAUUUUUUUUUUCCUCUUUGAGGUUGACUUUAAUGUUACCGUUAAAUACUAACUGACAUUUUUUUAACGAGGCCAGUCAUGUUGGGAGGCUAAGGGAAUUUCUGAAUUGAAUAUUAACUAAGUUAUUUACAAUUUUUAGCGACCAGAAGUUAUUGUAGAUUUUUGAAAGUUUAUUAGAGGAAAAAUUUACAACAAAUCAAGGGGGAUGGCACACACCAGGCCCUGGCCUGGAUUGCCUUUAUGCUCUUUGGCUGUCAGGGAGCUCCUAUUCAUCCUCCAAAACCCAAGCAGGCUUCACCUUCUCUUCCAAGCCUUCCCAUCCACUCUGCCCACGUCUACCCCACCCUGCAACAGAGUUUAACUGUUGGUAACUCUGUUUACCCAUAGUACCUUACAUCAGUAGGAAGCAGUAAUUUGGAGUCAUUUAGACAGUUUAGGAAUCCUAGCUCCACUACUUAUUAGCUGUGCAAUUAAGUUAAGUAACUGAGCCUCAGUUUCCUCCUCUGUAAAAUGGGGAUAAUAGCUUUUGCACCUAUGAGGACUGAAAUAAAAUAUGUAAAAUGCUUAGACCAGUUUAUGGCAUUAAAUAUGUGCUCAGUAAAGGGUCCUUUCAGAAUGAUCUAUCCAUUUCUGUGACUGCAUUUACCACAUUGUAUUUACUGCUUGCGUGGUUUUCUCUCCCAUCAGCUAGAGCGCAUGGGCAGCGUUUUUUGUUUUGUUUUGUUUUCAUCUCUGGUACCCAGUACCAGGCACACGUCGGGCUCCUGGGUAAGUGUCCAUCGAAGGAACUGCGUUGAGAUUUGGGGUACCGGGCUCAUACAGCUCUCCUCGGCCCGCAGCCCAGCCGGUUCUUCGCGCUCCCUUGCUGAGCUGAGCCCCCGGGGGCCCCGCCGUCCUCCCUAAGCCUGUCUGGCGCCUCCCUGACGGCUUCUGCCCCAGGCAGCAGGGCGGUGGUGCAGGCAGAGGGGCGGCGGGGCAGAGCAGGGAUGACCUCCCCGCAGAGCAUCGGGGCCACCGCG